rnacentral:rRNA from 1 species
CACGUAGGGUGCGAGCGUUGUCCGGAAUUAUUGGGCGUAAAGAGCUCGUAGGCGGUGUGUCGCGUCGGCCGUGAAAACCUGCAGCUUAACUGUGGGCUUGCGGUCGAUACGGGCAUCACUGGAGUUCGGUAGGGGAGACUGGAAUUCCUGGUGUAGCGGUGAAAUGCGCAGAUAUCAGGAGGAACACCGGUGGCGAAGGCGGCUAUCUGGACGGUUUCUGACGCUAAGACGCGAAAGCGUGGGGAGCAAACAGG